rnacentral:lncRNA from 1 species
UCAAUUGUUUCCGUGAGCGCUUACUAAUUACUCUGCUUGCAUGAAUUACAGCACCUAUCAGCCUUCCAACGAUUCUAAAUACAAGAGGAGGAGGACCCUUUGGCCCAGCGGUCAGAAAUCCUUACUUGGUCCGCCAUGCCUGCAAGUUUUUUGGCAAUUCAUGCUUGCCACCAAAGUCCUGCAAGAACAAUUGGCGCCUACCGCUCCUUGGCUGCAGGAAAAAUGAAGUCUGCUGCAACAGUAGAAAAACGAGAAACUGCUCCAAACUCGGAGGAAAAUGCCGCAACGGAUGCCGCAAUUAUGGUGUUCCGUACCCUGUCGCCACUUGCAAGAUUAAAUGGGAAAAAUGCUGCAUUCGUGUGCAGUAGCAAGGGCCCAGAGCAACGCUGACUCGCAAAACGUUUUUCACGCUCUUUCAUGCCUAAGAUAUUCACUUUCAUGUAAAAGAAUAAA